UACGUAGGGUGCAAGCGUUGUCCGGAAUUAUUGGGCGUAAAGAGCUCGUAGGCGGUUUGUUGCGUCGGCUGUAAAAUCCCGAGGCUCAACCUCGGGUCUGCAGUCGAUACGAGCAAACUAGAGUGUUGCAGGGGAGACUGGAAUUCCUGGUGUAGCGGUGAAAUGCGCAGAUAUCAGGAAGAACACCCGUGGCGAAAGCGGCUCUCUGGAACGGUACUGACGCUGAGACGCGAAAGCGUGGGGAGCGAACAGG
rnacentral:rRNA from 1 species